CAAUAGCGUAUAUUAAAGUUGUUGCAGUUAAAAAGCUCGUAGUUGGAUUUGUGGUGUACUUCGGCAGCCCGUCACUAUGUGAUGGAGCUUGCUGAAGUCGCCAUCCUUGGGUGGAUCCUGUGUGGCAUUAAGUUGUCGUGCAGGGGAUGCCCAUCGUUUACUGUGAAAAAAUUAGAGUGUUCAAAGCAGGCUUAUGCCGUUGAAUAUAUUAGCAUGGAAUAAUAAGAUAGGACCUUGGUACUAUUUUGUUGGUUUGCGCACCAAGGUAAUGAUUAAUAGGGACAGUUGGGGGUAUUCGUAUUUCAUUGUCAGAGGUGAAAUUCUUGGAUUUUUGAAAGACGAACUACUGCGAAAGCAUUUACCAAGGAUGGUUNCAUUAA
rnacentral:rRNA from 1 species